rnacentral:rRNA from 1 species
CGGCAGCAUGAUCUAGCUUGCUAGAUUGAUGGCGAGUGGCGAACGGGUGAGUAAUACAUCGGAACGUGCCCUGUAGUGGGGGAUAACUAGUCGAAAGAUUAGCUAAUACCGCAUACGACCUGAGGGUGAAAGUGGGGGACCGCAAGGCCUCAUGCUAUAGGAGCGGCCGAUGUCUGAUUAGCUAGUUGGUGGGGUAAAGGCCCACCAAGGCGACGAUCAGUAGCUGGUCUGAGAGGACGAUCAGCCACACUGGGACUGAGACACGGCCCAGACUCCUACGGGAGGCAGCAGUGGGGAAUUUUGGACAAUGGGCGAAAGCCUGAUCCAGCAAUGCCGCGUGUGUGAAGAAGGCCUUCGGGUUGUAAAGCACUUUUGUCCGGAAAGAAAUGGCUCUGGUUAAUACCUGGGGUCGAUGACGGUACCGGAAGAAUAAGGACCGGCUAACUACGUGCCAGCAGCCGCGGUAAUACGUAGGGUCCAAGCGUUAAUCGGAAUUACUGGGAGUAAAGCGUGCGCAGGCGGUUGUGCAAGACCGAUGUGAAAUCCCCGAGCUUAACUUGGGAAUUGCAUUGGUGACUGCACGGCUAGAGUGUGUCAGAGGGGGGUAGAAUUCCACGUGUAGCAGUGAAAUGCGUAGAGAUGUGGAGGAAUACCGAUGGCGAAGGCAGCCCCCUGGGAUAACACUGACGCUCAUGCACGAAAGCGUG